rnacentral:rRNA from 1 species
AUUGAACGCUGGCGGCAGGCCUAACACAUGCAAGUCGAACGAGUGGCGGACGGGUGAGUAAUGUCUGGGAAACUGCCUGAUGGAGGGGGAUAACUACUGGAAACGGUAGCUAAUACCGCAUACCAUCAGAUGUGCCCAGAUGGGAUUAGCUUGUUGGUGGGGUAACGGCUCACCAAGGCGACGAUCCCUAGCUGGUCUGAGAGGAUGACCAGCCACUAUGUAACUGAGACACGGUCCAGACUCGUAAGGGAGGCAGCAGUGGGGAAUAAUGCACAAUGGGAGAAAGCCAGAUGAAGCCAUGCCGCGUGUAUGAAGAAGGGCUUCGGGUUGUAAAGUACUUUCAGCGGGGAGGCGUUACCCGCGGAAGAAGCACCGGCUAACUCCGUGACAGCCGCCGCGGUAAUAC